AAUCCUGGCUUGGGGUAGGUCAUCUCCUCUAAGCGAGCAAAGAAGUAGUAUUUGUUUGCUUUUAAUGGUCAAAUAUAACUUUUUUGGAAGCUACGAGGAGUUGUCCUCAGCGCUUAUGAAAUCGA
rnacentral:precursor_RNA from 15 species